AUGACACUCAAAAGAAAGUGGCAUGUAACUCAUAGAGGACUUCCAGCUCCUGUGAAAGAGGGAGAGGAUAUUUCUGUUCUGCAGUCUUCACAUCUAAGGAGAAUUGUGGUGGUCUGUGCACCUACUACACGUGAUCAGGGAGCAGGAGGAGCCUGCUGCAGGCUCUGCUCAUAUAAGCUCUCUUCAGCUCUCACUGCAGGUAUUGAAAGCCUAUGCUGUCUCCAGGACUGAGAACUUUGUGUUUCCAUUGCCUUCUAUCUCUCAGGCAUGGAAAUCUCAACAAGCUAGGACAGACAUCUUAGCUGUCAGCGUGCAGCACUUUCAUUUCGGUCUCAGGCAUGGGAGCUGCAUUUUGUCCCUGCAGACUGAGAUAAUUAAAACUACAGAGAGAUGGUUUUAAAUAUACAUGAUACACAGUUACUUAAAUUGUGGGAUAAUGCAUAAAUGCGGCGCUUAACAUUUUUGAUAGAGCAACGCCGACCGGACAACAUAUCCAUAGAUUGUAGAGAACAAUUUUUUUGUGUGUAAACAGCUUUGUUUUAUUUUUAUUUUUCCCCUUUUCACCUGAAUUGCUGCGGAAGCACAGAAAUACCAGUUCAAACCCUGGGUAGGGAAUGCCCUUAUUAAAAAGAUACUGAUACCAUUAACUUCUUUUUUUUUUUUUUCUCCUUCUUUUCUUUGUUUUUGAGCAGCCCGUAGCCUCCUUGGAAUACAUAUCUAUUUCAGCUUUCAUUUGCUGAACCCCCUGAAUGAGUUUAUCCAAACAAUGUGAAUUUACUCAGAUCUUUUUAAAAUCCCACAUCUCUUGUGGUUGAUAAAGCUGACUUUAGCUAAGAAGAGUUGGAUCAGGGUGAUUUAAAUUUCACAGUGAAAAUGAUAAGGGCUUUACUAGAAAUAAUAAGCACAUUCAAAUACUGUCAUGGGCAAACAGUUGAAUGUGCAGUGAGAAAUUUGGCAAGGCUAGUCUUUCUCAGUGUUGAUUUAAUGAAGUAAUGGAUAGUAAAAUAGAAAAAAAAAAUAGCGACUUGCAUUCAGAGGUAAACUUAUGUUAAUU
rnacentral:lncRNA from 1 species